CUAAACUAUUAAAGUAAAAGUUUAAGACUUAAAAUGUUUGAAUGGAGAUUAGUUUGAAGUCAAACAUUUAUUUCCAAUAAACAAAAAUUAACUAUAUGACAAGUCAAAACUAUUCAGGUUUAGUUCCUAGGAGUUUAUAUUUUGAGGUUUUACAUUAAUUUAAAAUCAUGUAUUGUGCUUGCUUGAGGGUAAAUAUUGUUAUUAAUGUUGUAUCUUCUGAUAAAUGCAGUCUCAUUGGAUUUAGGUAUUUGACUUUUCAGUUUGUGUCUGAGGCCCUUGCUUGCUGGUAACAGUUUUUUCCGUCUUUUGAGUCAAAUGUAUUUCAAUAGGGGGUGGAAGUGGUUCGAGAACGACAGGCGGAACUUGUUCGACAUUUAUUUCCAACUCUUUAAAUGUAAAGUUCAUUUGAUCUUUGGAUUUAUUGCUGAAGUUCCCUUAUUUAUUUUUCCAUGUGAUGCAGUUAUGUUUUGCAAGUUAGUUUAAAUUUAUUUUAUACACUUUUAGAGAUGGAUGAGACCCAUAAUUAUUAUGUUUAAAAUAUAGAAAUGACUACAAUUGUUUUUUUGUUACAAAUCAAACAAAAAUAUUAUAUAAAUAAAGGGUUGUGCCUGCUGCAAGAAUAGAGAAGCACAACUCAGAGGACUCAUAAAUUAUAAUAGAGUGGUUAUUUUCUCGAAGACCAUCUGCCCAUUUAGUGAUGAUGCAAAAAAAAUUUUUCGCUUGAUGAAUUCAGAUUAUGCAUCAAUUGAGUUAGACGAACUUUCACCAAGCCAUGGACUUCUCAAAGCCCUUAAGGCUAAAACUGGACGUACCACUGUUCCACAGAUAUUCAUUGAUGGUCGAUUUGUCGGUGGUUUAUGUGAAUUAAAAGCAUUAAAAAGCUCUGGUAAACUACAAAAAUAUCUUUGCCAGGUCAACCCUUACUGCAUGACUACAAAGUCUUUGAGGAGCAACACAGGAUGCGUUUCAACUUACCCAAAAUCUGACAAAGGUCCAUGCAGAAAUAGUUGUCAAGCUAGAACUUCUGUAGCGGCACGCAGAAACCGAUAGAAAAAUGACAGAUGUCAAGAUCCUUAUCGAGCUAUUGGCAAAAUGGGUUCUCAAUAUCCAACAGGGCAUCAAGCAGGCCCUGCACUAAAAAUCUCCAUCCAUCA